rnacentral:rRNA from 1 species
GACGAACGCUGGCGGCGUGCUUAACACAUGCAAGUCGAACGGAAAGGCCCUGCUUGCAGGGUACUCGAGUGGCGAACGGGUGAGUAACACGUGGGUGAUCUGCCCUGCACUUCGGGAUAAGCCUGGGAAACUGGGUCUAAUACCGGAUAGGAGCCAUCCUUAGUGUGAUGGUUGGAAAGUUUUUUCGGUGUAGGAUGAGCUCGCGGCCUAUCAGCUUGUUGGUGGGGUAAUGGCCUACCAAGGCGGCGACGGGUAGCCGGCCUGAGAGGGUGGACGGCCACAUUGGGGCUGAGAUACGGCCCAGACUCCUACGGGGGGCAGCAGUGGGGAAUAUUGCACAAUGGGCGCAAGCCUGAUGCAGCGACGCCGCGUGGGGGAUGACGGCCUUCGGGUUGUAAACUCCGUUCGCUAGGGACGAAGCUUUUUGUGACGGUACCUAGAUAAGAAGCACCGGCUAACUACGUG